rnacentral:rRNA from 1 species
AGCGAACGCUGGUGGCAGGCCUAACACAUGCAAGUCGAACGGAUCCUUCGGGAUUAGUGGCGGACGGGUGAGUAACACGUGGGAACGUGCCCUUUGGUUCGGAACAACUCAGGGAAACUUGAGCUAAUACCGGAUGUGCCCUUCGGGGGAAAGAUUUAUCGCCAUUGGAGCGGCCCGCGUCUGAUUAGCUAGUUGGUGAGGUAAAGGCUCACCAAGGCGACGAUCAGUAGCUGGUCUGAGAGGAUGAUCAGCCACAUUGGGACUGAGACACGGCCCAAACUCCAACGGGAGGCAGCAGUGGGGAAUCUUGCGCAAUGGGCGAAAGCCUGACGCAGCCAUGCCGCGUGAAUGAUGAAGGUCUUAGGAUUGUAAAAUUCUUUCACCGGGGACGAUAAUGACGGUACCCGGAGAAGAAGCCCCGGCUAACUUCGUGCCAGCAGCCGCAGUAA